rnacentral:rRNA from 1 species
CCUACGGGGGGCAGCAGUGGGGAAUAUUGGGCAAUGGGCGCAAGCCUGACCCAGCAACGCCGCGUGAAGGAAGAAGGCUUUCGGGUUGUAAACUUCUUUUCUAAGGGACGAAGAAAGUGACGGUACCUUAGGAAUAAGCUCCGGCUAACUACGUGCCAGCAGCCGCGGUAAUACGUAGGGAGCGAGCGUUAUCCGGAUUUACUGGGUGUAAAGGGCGUGUAGGCGGGAUGGCAAGUCAGGCGUGAAAACUAUGGGCUCAACCCAUAGCCUGCGUUUGAAACUGUCGUUCUUGAGUGAUGGAGAGG